AUCACUUCUUGGCCUUUUGGCUAAGAUCAAGUGUAGAAUCACACAUUUUAUUUUUCCUUGAGCCAUUUAGUUCAGUUCAAAAGCUUUAUUUGGGGCCAUCACCACGUUUCAGAUCUCAUUUUUUUUUUUGCAGUAAAAUAUAAAAAGCAUAAAAUUU
rnacentral:snRNA from 1 species